AAAUGUAUAUUAAAAUUUCUCAUUUACAAAGGGUAUGAAUAAUUUUUUAAACCAAAAAAUAUAUUUAAAAAAAUUAGAAAACAAAAUUCAAAAGAAACAGGAUCUAGUUUUUUACCUUCCCUCCCAAGUUCCCCUCCUUGUUUUGCUGGUACGUAAAACCCCUCAUCUCUUCCACGAUUUUCACCUUGCACAACCGUUCUCUCACGAUUGGAAGUUCUCUUUCUCUCACAAUCGCACUCCCGCACAGACAUUUGUCGACCGUCUGGUUUCCGCCCUUUUCUGUUGCUGUGCUACACCAUCGUCGCUUCAUUCUGGCUCGAUAAUGUGGAAGACUAAAAAAAAUUGUCUCGGCUUAUGGACAUCAUUAUCAACUCACUCUACAGCAAUAAAUAUAUCUUCUUGAGGGAGUAAUGCUUCUGAUGCAUUGGAUAAUAUUUGGUUCCUCUCACUCGCAGAUAAGGAGAUCUUGGGUUAUGGUCAUUAAGG